UACGUAGGGGGCUAGCGUUGUCCGGAUUUAUUGGGCGUAAAGAGCGUGUAGGCGGCCAGGUAGGUCCGCUGUGAAAGUCCGAGGCUCAACCUCGGAAUGUCGGCGGAAACCCUCUGGCUAGAGUCCGGAAGAGGAGAGUGGAAUUCCCGGUGUAGCGGUGAAAUGCGCAGAUAUCGGGAGGAACACCAGCGGCGAAGGCGGCACUCUGGGCUGGUACUGACGCUGAGGAGCGAAAGCGUGGGUAGCAAACAGG
rnacentral:rRNA from 1 species